CUCUCUGGAGAUUUCUUGUCUUUGGAUUAGAGUCUGUCUGACAAUGCGGAGUGACAUUUAAUGAGUCAAUCAUCGUCCAACUUCUAAAAGCCUGACCUUCAUCCCCAUUGUGUCUCUGACAGCCACAUGUAAAGCUCUACUGUCGUCUUUAAUCGCAGCCUUCGUAUCGAGCAAGUCAGUCCUCUGGAGCCGUUCGUCCUCGGUGUCGUCUCCGACCGCUCGCUCCAGUCGGCUUCUGUCUGCGGCUUCAACCACACGGGUGAUUUCUUUGCAAUUGAACCAUCAGGGUCCAUUUCACCAGUGCAGUCUCUUCUAGGUCCAGCUUCCUCCGAGACUUGACAUUAUUCUUUCAGCCACUUGUCAUUUAGACAAGUGAAAUAACCUUUAAUUAAUCCAGAGAGAAUCCGUGGAAGACGGCGUCCCUUAGAGUUUUGAUGUCGUCCGUACCAGAAUUGUCCCGGGUUUUACAGGUGAUACCUCGCCUGAAUGUUAACAGCAUGUCAGAACAGUAACAGUGUGAGUCAUUGUCGAGUCUUGUGUGUUUUAUCGUGUCCUUUCCCCUGUCAACACAGACAUCCAGCGUUGUUUACUCGGCUUCUUCUCCCUGCAGGGCCCCUCCUCUUUGAUGACACCUUGUAAUAUUAGCAAAUUAACUGAAGCUCGACUCAGUUCGGCGGUUUUCCACCGAGCGAGGUCCCGCCGGCCCCCCAGUGCACGCUGCUUUCCAACGAUUAGUUCAGAUGACUGUGUUUGAUGGUUUGUCAUUUUGCAUGCCUGGGAAGAGAUCGCCUCAUAAACGUCGAUGACUUCUCAAGCGUGCGAGAGCAGACCGGCUGGUCCAAAAACACUGCGAUGAGGCUUUUCACUCUGCUGCCGGGACAGGCGCAGGCCCUCGGUGGCUCCAGACUGUGGCCGACUAACAAACGGGUCUGGAAAUAAAUAACGUUGUGACCCGAAGAAAAGGACAAAAGUUUACUUGCACACUUAAUUUGAAGAGGAGACACUCGAUUCACACUGUAACUUCUGUGUUGGAUUCACUGAGUCAUAGCAGCAUAGACGAAUCUUGGACCCGGUAAUAAAUCUGCCUGACUCCCGUCUCCAGGAGUUCAAUUUUCAAAUUCCACCCAUGAUUUUCAGCUUAGGUUAUGCCAUCGAUUAGAGAGUUAAAAUUGGACCGUGUUGGCAUGUUUCUCGAGCCGUUAGCACACUCGACGGUGCUGGAUUAGCCGUGGAGUGGAAACAGCUCCGAUGCCCCGCAGUCAGUAUGGGGUAUCCUCGUGGUGGAAAACAAGUCGACAGCUGUACUCGUCCUCGGGAAGAUAACCCAGCACGAGCGCAGAAAGAAAAGGCAGAGGGAAGAAGAGCAGACAUUUUAUAAAGAUGUGUGUUGGUCUUCGCCUGUCACCAUGUGGACUGUGGUGUCUCCAGCCCCGUCUGGUCCAACACAUUAUUCUGAUGUGCUUAAGUGGAGCGAUGCAGGAAGUCCAGCUUCGGUGGUGACAACUACUUGAGUUUGGUUUUUUUAUUGUCUGUGUGCCUGGAGUCAGCCCACAUCACGUCUCCUGAUAGAUGAUACCCCGACAUACUUACCCGUGCAACUCCCCUCCUCAAAGUCCCCCUCCUCCUCCUCUGUUACCUCCCCCAGGAGAUGCAUGGAUGAGCAAGCUUAUUCUCCUCGUGGGGUGUUCCCCAUGCAUGACUGAUGCUGAGAUUAAUAUCCUUGACUGAUUCCUGCUCCGCGGUGAGGAGAGGAGGAGGCCUAUCACAGCACAGCCGCCCCCUCAGGAGUCCAUUGAUUUUCGCACCGUUCUGACAAACAUGAACCUCCUCAGCCCACAAAAUACUUUAUUUGUUGUCCAUUUAGAUGCCGUCUCCUCCGGCCCAGCUGUCCACAUCUGCUUUCUUGUUGUUUUUUUUCUUUUUUAGCUCUGUUUGUCCCACGUCUCUGUCAGCUGCACGGUAUUUACUGCUAAUCGCAUCCACUUUAGGAAUUAGUAUGUAAAUGUAUGCAACAUGAGAGUGAUGCAACUAUAAAAAG